GUGGUGGAAUUGGUAGACACGCUAUCUUGAGGGGGUAGUGUCCUUAUGGACGUGCGGGUUCAAGUCCCGCUCUCGGCACCA
rnacentral:tRNA from 1 species